UUCGGUGUGCUGACGAGUGGCGAACGGGUGCGUAACACGUGGAUGACCUGCCCAGAGAUGGGGGACAACAGCUGGAAACGGCUGCUAAUACCGCAUAAUCUCUAAGGAGGAAAGGCUUCGGCCGUCUUUGGAGGGGUCCGCGUCGGAUUAGCUAGUUGGUGGGGUAACGGCCCACCAAGGCGACGAUCCGUAGCUGGUCUUAGAGGAUGAUCAGCCACACUGGGACUGAGACACGGCCCAGACUCCUACGGGAGGCAGCAGUGGGGAAUAUUGCGCAAUGGGGGAAACCCUGACGCAGCGAUACCGCGUGGGUGAAGAAGGUCUUCGGAUUGUAAAGCCCUUUUAGUAGGGAAGAUAGUGACGGUACCUACAGAAGAAGCUCCGGCUAACUCCGUGCCAGCAGCCGCGGUAAUACGGAGGGGGCGAGCGUUGUUCGGAAUUACUGGGCGUAAAGGGCGCGUAGGCUGUUUUUCAAG
rnacentral:rRNA from 1 species